UCUGAUCCAUGAUGACAACUUUAACAUAUGGUGACUGCUGGAUGAGACUUGCGGAUAUGGGGCUGAGAUCACAC
ensembl:snoRNA small nucleolar RNA SNORD99